AUGGAACGAGUGGAAGGGGGUUUGAGGAAUCUACACCACUCGGAUGCGGAGAAGAAGGAAGUGAGGAUUGGAGGAAGAAGAGGCGACGCCAGCAACUCAAGUAAGCUCCAAGCCAUUGGGAAUAUUUUCUCAGACAUGCCAACAAUGGUGGAGAUUUUGGCCGAUACCUUGGGAGGGAUUUGGAGCCAAUUCUCCUUGGUGGGAUGCAAGAGCCUGGGGAAGAACAGAUUCCUCUUUACCUUUAAGAAAAAGGCGGUCGAAGGACGCCCAUGGAGGUUCAAAAAGGAGCUCCUGGUGGUGGAGGAGUUUGUGCCAAGCAAGACCUUGGAUGAAUAUGAGUUCAAGCACUGCCCAAUAUGAGUGAGGGCCUUCGGCAUCCCAAAACUAGGAGACAAGGGAAUCCAUUGGGUAUCAAAUUGGAGCAGUCUUGGCUGUGGAUGUGGAUGGGGAUUGACUGGCCUUGGGAGAGUUCAUGAAAAUCAGGGUCACAUUGACAUUAAAACUCCAAUCAUGCGGUUUAUUACGGGGGUUAUUGAUAGGGAAGAAGGGGAGAAGGAGAAACAAUCAGUGGACCAUAGAAUAGAAAACAUUGGGGAAGAAGGAAAGAAGAAAAAGAAGGAAAAUAUCAUAAGAUUGGAGUAUGAGCACAUCCCAGAUUUCUGCUACCAGUGCGGCAUCAUAGGCCACAAUGAAAGAGACUGCUCUGAAAGACCAAAAACGGGACAACCCUAG
rnacentral:rRNA from 1 species